rnacentral:rRNA from 1 species
UACGUAGGGUGCAAGCGUUGUCCGGAAUUAUUGGGCGUAAAGAGCUUGUAGGCGGUUUGUCGCGUCUGCUGUGAAAUUUCGGGGCUCAACCCCGAACUUGCAGUGGGUACGGGCAGACUAGAGUGCGGUAGGGGAGAAUGGAAUUCCUGGUGUAGCGGUGGAAUGCGCAGAUAUCAGGAGGAAUACCGGUGGCGAAAGCGACUCUCUGGACGGCAACUGACGCUGAGGCACGAAAGCGUGGGGAGCAAACAGG